CCUACGGGAGGCUGCAGUGAGGAAUAUUGGUCAAUGGGCGCAAGCCUGAACCAGCCAAGUCGCGUGAGGGAUGACGGUCCUAUGGAUUGUAAACCUCUUUUGUCGGGGAGCAAGGCCCGCCACGUGUGGCGGGAAGGAGAGUACCCGAAGAAAAAGCAUCGGCUAACUCCGUGCCAGCAGCCGCGGUAAUACGGAGGAUGCGACCGUUAUCCGGUUUCAUGGGGUUAAAGGGGUGCGUAGGCGGAAGUUUAAGUCAGCGGUCAAAUGUCGGGACUCAACACCGGCCUGCCGUUGAAACUGGCAGUCUUGAGUGGGCGAGAAGUAUGCGGAAUGCGUGGUGUAGCGGUGAAAUGCAUAGAUAUCACGCAGAACUCCGAUUGCGAAGGCAGCAUACCGGCGCCCUACUGACGCUGAGGCACGAAAGCGUGGGUAUCGAACAGGAUUAGAUACCCUUGUAGUC
rnacentral:rRNA from 1 species